rnacentral:rRNA from 1 species
GACGAACGCUGGCGGCGUGCUUAACACAUGCAAGUCGAACGGAAAGGCCCAGCUUGCUGGGUACUCGAGUGGCGAACUGGUGAGUAACACGUGGGUGAUCUGCCCUGCACUCUGGGAUAAGCCUGGGAAACUGGGUCUAAUACCGGAUAUGACCAACUGUCGCAUGGUGGUUGGUGGAAAGCUUUUGCGGUGUGGGAUGGGCCCGCGGCCUAUCAGCUUGUUGGUGGGGUAAUGGCCUACCAAGGCGACGACGGGUAGCCGACCUGAGAGGGUGAUCGGCCACACUGGGACUGAGAAACGGCCCAGACUCCUACGGGAGGCAGCAGUGGGGAAUAUUGCACAAUGGGCGCAAGCCUGAUGCAGCGACGCCGCGUGAGGGAUGACGGCCUUCGGGUUGUAAACCUCUUUCACCAGGGACGAAGCGUGAGUGACGGUACCUGGAGAAGAAGCACCGGCCAACUACGUG